rnacentral:tRNA from 1 species
GCCGGGGUGGCGAAACAGGCAGACGCUUCGGUCUCAAAAACCGAUGGGGGAAACCCCGUGCGGGUUCGAGUCCCGCCCCCGGCACCA